GCAUGAAUUAUCAAUAUGUUGUUUGCUGAACAACUAUAUUACAAAUAUCAUGCAUUUCCUAGUUAGUUGACGGGUUGAACAAUUUUUUCUAACUGAUUCUUUGUUGUAAAAUGGUUGUCGCAUGGCGACCGACGACAGUAAAUGCAUAUCUGUCUACAUUUUCUUGCCUUUUGGUUAAUUUUGUGCUUUUAUGUCUAUCAACUGUUCAGAGAGAUAAACUGGCAUAAGGAUACAGCGUCUCUUUGUUGAUUGCAUUUUAAAUAUGAAAAGACUAAAUCUGAAAUUGCACCUAAUUUACAGGCCGAGACUUCUGAGAUUUG
rnacentral:misc_RNA from 1 species